rnacentral:rRNA from 1 species
GACGAACGCUGGCGGCGUGCCUAAUACAUGCAAGUAGGACGCAGUUGCGAACGGGUGAGUAACGCGUAGGUAACUGCCUAUUAGAGGGGGAUAACUAUUGGAAACGAUAGCUAAUACCGCAUACUAGUAGAUGGACCUGCGUUGUAUUAGCUAGUAGGUAGGGUAAUGGCCUACCUAGGUGACGAUACAUAGCCGACCUGCGAGGUAGGUGUGCCACACUGGGACUGAGACAAGGCCCAGAAUCCUACGGGGGGCAGCAGUAGGGAAUCUUCGGCAAUGGGGGGAAACCUGACCCAGCAACGCCGCGUGAGUGAAGAAGGUUUUCGGGUCGUAAAGCUCUGUUGUUAAGGAAGCGGUACUUAACCAGAAAGGGACGGCUAACUACGUGCCAGCAGCCGCGGUAAUAC